UCUGCGGCCAGCUACCAGCAACCAGCUCCUGCUCCUGUAGGGGCAGAAGCUGCUGGGUGGGGUGGAGGUCCCAAGUUUGGGGUGUUCCAGUCUGUGCUCCUGCUGCUGAAUUGUUCCUUCCACUCUCCCCUGAGCCUUCUCCUAGUAUCCUUUCCUCCUCUACAAAUCUUCCCCGAAGAUGAAAGCAGGUGGGGGUAGGGUAGGGGCCUGGAAAUUGUCGACUUCAGUAAAGGAGUUGGACUUUACCCUAAGAGCCAUGGAAAGUUCACUGAAGUGCCUGAUUUGUGUUUUCGGAAAGGUACCCCUGGCUACUGGGAAGCAGAAAGCACAGACAAGAAGCUGCUUCAAUGGCCCAGGUGGGAGAGGAGUCGGAGAAGAACCAGUGAGACAAUGAGGCGGAUGGCCGUGGAAACAGAAAUCUAGUGGAGGACUCUGAUCCCUAGGGGAUGUAGGGCCACUGGACCCAAUUCCUGUAUAAUCUUGUGUGGUAUUUCCCUGCUUCUGCUCACCUUCAUUGGAUGCAACCAUAUGGCAGACAGGAUACUAUGAGUUCAUCAAACCUUUUUUCUCCUGAAACUACAUUUCCCAGCAUGCCUUGCUAUAAGGUUGCAUCGUGUGACUGAGUGCUGGCCAAUGGAAUGUGGGUAGGAGUAAUAGAUGGCACUUUUGUGGCUGCUCUCCCCCAAAAUAUCAUGAACAAUCUUCUACACAUACUCAUUUCCUCUUUUCCUUUGUAGGCUGUGGAAACAGAAAUCUAGUGAAGGACUCUGAUCCCUAGGGGAAGUAGGGCCACUGGACCCAAUUCUUGCAUAAUCUUGUGUGGUAUUUCCCUGCCUCUGCUGACUGACCUUCAUUAGAUGGCUAACAGGAUGAUUGUUCCUGUGUAGAUGUUGCCUUGGUCUUUGUCUCCUGAGGAGUCACAGAAAGAAAGACACAGACAAGGACUUGGAGGUGGAACUUGGAAGUGCUGGAGAUGAGCUAGCUGUGGCUGUAUGGACAAAGGCAAGACCCUAUGGGAUGGCCGAGCAACCACACAGAAGAACUCUUGAGACCUCAAGGAAAAGAACUGCCCGCAACUGCUCUUGACACUCUCUCCCUCUGGCCUGUUGUGUGGGAGAGAAAUAAACUUCUAUGUUAUUCAAACCA